UGUUUCUGUGCUCCCUCUUAGUGCUCUGAAAUCUUGGGCUCCUCUCCCUCUUGAUUGCUGGCUGAAAAUCUUGGCUUGGCACUCCCAAGCUGCACACCACAGCUCUGGGACAAUCUCAAGCUUUAUAUCCCUUCCCAUCUUGGAGGAAUCAGAGGAAGGAAAGUUAGCAGUGGUUGUGACAGAGGGUUUUUCACUUGUCUCUUGGAGCUCCACCUCAGAAAGACGCAGAGCUGCUAUCAAUCAGUAUGAUUGGCCUAGGAUGGGGCAGCUGUGCUGUGAGACCAACCCAUGGCAGACAUCCAGCUGAUCACACUGUGUCCACAUAAGGCAAAUGCUGAGCUGUAAUCCAUCAAGCUGUUUCCGCAUAGAGAAAAGGCCAUAUGAGUACACAGCCAGAAGGUGUCUGCCUACAAGACAAAGAGGGAAAACUUACCUGAAACCAACCCUGAUGGAUAUUGGAUUUCUAAGCUCCAGAACUGUGAGAAAAUUAAUUUUAUGUGCUUUAAGACACUCAAUUUGUGGUAUUCUGUUAUGGCAGCCUAUGCUAGUCAAUUUGCAUUACCAUAAAGCAACACCUGAGAGUGGGUAAAUUAUAAAGAAAAGAAGUUGAAUCGGCUCAUGGUUCUGCAGGCAGUACAGAAGCAUAGUGCUGGCAAUUGCCCCUGGCAAGGGGCUCAGGAAGCUUACAAACAUGGCAGAAGGCAAAGGGAAGCCAACAUAUCACACGUAAGCUCAGGAAGCUUACAAACAUGGCAGAAGGCAAAGGGAAGCCAACAUAUCACGUGGCGAGAAAGACAGAGAAGCGGUAGGUCCCAGACUCUUUUAAACAACAAGACCUCAUGUGAACUGAGGGGAAACUCACUUUCACCAAGGAGAUGGUGCUAAACCACUAAUGAGGGAUCUGUCCCAUGAGCCAAUCACCUCCCACCAAGACCUACCUCCAAUUUUGGAAAUUAUAUUUCAACAUGAGAUUUGGAGGGGACAAACAUCCAAACCAUAUCCCAGCCUGAGCAGACUAACAGAGUCUCUGAAUAAAUCUAUGAAAAUGACUAGAGUAUUAUUUUGUUGAGUGAUUUCUUCUUGUAUUAGGAUUGGUCUCCUUGAAAAUAUUUUUCUCAUAUCUGUUAUAAUAAAAUACUGAGAAUCAUACUAAUUCUACUCUAAACUUAGAUAUUUAAGAGGGUUGGAUUUGACUGAUUGCUCUGAUGUUGCUAACAUAGUCAAAGACUUUUCAAAACUAAAGUGUAAUAUUAUGUCAUGCAACCUUGAGAAAAUUACAAUGGACAAAGCAGAACUAUAAUUCACAAUUCAUCUCCCAAACAAAUUGUGACACCCCUUCUUUCCAAUCCACUGAAAUAUGCCUAAAAUGAGAAAAAAGGGAAAUCUUAAAAACAACAACAACAACAACAAAGAAAAAACAGAAAACGGCAACAUUCAGGCAAAAAAGAAUGUGAGGACUAUGAUGCUGGCAUGCUAAACUUAAUUAAUAAUAAAUGAGAGAGUUUGGAAUGAU
rnacentral:lncRNA from 1 species